UGGGGAAUAUUGCACAAUGGAGGGAACUCUGAUGCAGCGACGCCGCGUGAACGAAGAAGGCUUUCGAGUCGUAAAGUUCUUUUAUAUGGGAAGAUAAUGACGGUACCAUAAGAAAAAGCCCCGGCUAACCACGUGCCAGCAGCCGCGGUAAUACGUAGGGGGCUAGCGUUGUCCGGAAUCACUGGGCGUAAAGGGUUCGCAGGCGGAAAUGCAAGUCAGGUGUAAAAGGCAGUAGCUUAACUACUGUAAGCAUUUGAAACUGCAUAUCUUGAGAAGAGUAGAGGUAAGUGGAAUUUUUAGUGUAGCGGUGAAAUGCGUAGAUAUUAAAAAGAAUACCGGUGGCGAAGGCGACUUACUGGGCUCAUUCUGACGCUGAGGAACGAAAGCGUGGGUAGCAAACAGG
rnacentral:rRNA from 1 species